GGGAGGAAAAGAAACUAACAAGGAUUUUCUUAGUAGCGGCGAGCGAAAAGAAAAUAGUUCAGCACUAAGUCACUUUGUCUUAAUGGCAAAUGUGAGAUGCAGUGUAUGGAAUGUCAAAUUUCUAGUAUGAGAAAUUAACGAUUUAAGUCCUUCUUAAAUGAGGCCAUUUACCCAAAGAGGGUGCCAGGCCCGUAUAACGUUAAUGAUUACUAGAUGGCAUUUCCAAAGAGUCGUGUUGCUUGAUAGUGCAGCACUAAGUGGGUGGUAAACUCCAUCUAAAACUAAAUAUAACCAUGAGACCGAUAGUAAACAAGUACCGUGAGGGAAAGUUGAAAAGAACUCUGAAUAGAGAGUUAAAUAGUACGUGAAACUGCUUAGAGGUUAAGCCCGAUGAACCUGAAUAUCCGUUAUAGAAAAUUCAUCAUUAUGAUUUUAAUAUUAAUAAUAUUAUAAUAAUGGUGUGCAUUUUUUCUAUAAAAGGACAUUGUAAUCUAUUAACAUACAUUAAUUUAUCAUAAGAUCAAGAUACGAAGUUUAUUUAAAUUAUUCUGCUUGCAAUUUAACAUAGAAUAAACGUUCUUGAUUUGAUAAAGUGUUGAUAGAUUUAUUAUAUAUAGUGCUUAAAUAUUUUAUAUUUUAUAAUGGCAUAUUAAUCAUUGAUUUUUAUGUUUAUUAUAUGCACUUAUAUGAUUAACAAUGCGAAAGAUUCGGGAUACCUUCGGGACCCGUCUUGAAACACGGACCAAGGAGUCUAACAUAUUUGCAAGUUAUUGGGAAUAAAAACCUAAUAGCGAAAUUAACAUAACUUAAAUUAAUGGGAUUAAUUUUUAGCCUAUUUAUAGUCUAUUAAUUCAAUCCCGGGGCGUUCUAUAUAGUUAUGUAUAAUAAUAUUUAUAUUAUUUAUACCUCUAACUAGAGCGUACCUUGAGCAUAUAUGCUGUGACCCGAAAGAUGGUGAACUAUACUUGAUCAGGUUGAAGUCAGGGGAAACCCUGAUGGAAGACCGAAACAG
rnacentral:rRNA from 1 species